UUUUUUUUUUUUUUUUAGGAGACCCUAGUUAGUUAGAUUCCAUUGAAGCCUGAACUGGCUCAACAGCUGUACCUUGGAUGUGGAAGAGCUGACUGCAACAGUGUCCUGUAAAGUGGUAUCUUUCUAAAGCUGAAAGUCUUGGGCAGGGUCAGCCUUCAUACUGCUCCAAGGGCCUGCAGGAUUAAAUUUAACAUAAUAAUCAGGAAGCUCAAGUCCUGAUUGCAAAUCAGUGCAGACAGCAAACCUGCCACUAAUAAUUUAAGCAUGUGUUCUGCCCAAGCUCAAAAGAAGGAACUUGAAUGUACUCUCACAUUUCUACAUGCUAUUUCAAGACACAGUAUUUUAUCAAGCAGAGAUUUAAUUAAUCAGGGAAGCAAGUAAGUAGCCUCGUAUUAUCCUAAAAAAGCCAUGCUGUUACCACACCAAAUAACACUACUGCAUGGUUACUUAGCACAAUUUGCAACCUGAAUGCUACCCGUGGGCUCAAAGAGUAUUUCUAGUGAAGUAUCCCUCUUGCUUUUAACUGGCUGGUGAGAAAGCCUAGAAGCACAAAUGGCUGCACACUGUUACCUUAGUUGCCCCUUCAGGGCUCACUUGAAUUACUGCUCAAGAACUUCCUCAAUUUUCAACCAGAUGACUAGUAAGAGCAACUAAUUAUAUGUUUAGAAAGUGCAAUAGUAAAAAUCUUCAGUAGGUUGAAAAAUCACAGUUUUCUAGAUAAUGCUGUAGUUUGUAUGCGCAUGCAUUUCGCAUGUCCUAUUUUCUAGUAGAAGUUUUGCAUUUUGAGUAGGAAGUGGUACGUGAAAUUAAAAUCAAUACCCAGAGCAUGGAUAAAUGCGGUAUGGAGAAAACAAACUUACUUUUUUUUUUUUUUUUUUUUUUAAACAGCUGGGACUACAUCUCAGUGAUUCAACCUUCUGGCAGGGGGUUUCUUUAGAUGGGAAAACUGCCAGUUUUAAGCAGCUCUGAAAUUAAAAGUUCACAGCUGUUACUUAAUGUCUGUUUACAUUCUCAAGGACAGGCAGCUGGAGCUUGCUUACUUAUAUGAAUAAGGUGAAAUUUCGUAGAAGUGAGGAACAAUGGUUUAAAGCUGAUAAUUAGUGUAAUGGUUGGAAAGCAUGGUUUUGGUCUUGUAUCCCCCGUCUCACUGCAUGCUGUGCAAGUGGUAUUGGCACCAACCCCUUUAAACACUGCAAUUUUAUCAAGGGUUUGCUUAGAUCAACAGUACUUUUCAUUUCACAUCCUGCAAAGCUGGAACUGCUUGGCUUUGCUGUGUGAAACCAGCAAAAAUACAAAUCCAGCUUUUACACCAGGAAUCUAGUAUCUCAAAUUCCCCAGGGUCCGUUUAGACACUGUGCUGUCUGGCUGACUACACCCUCAUUUAGAUGGAUGGCAUGAGUUUGCUGUAAUGCAAAAAUCCAGGCAGCAGUUCUCAGGGAAGAGGCAUCAUUCCUGCAGUUAAUUCCUCUUCCCUGUAGAAAGUAGUUAAGGAAGGAAGAAAAUAGGGUGACUAAAGAGGCAUUCAGGUUAAGGAAGGUGGAUCACACCUGCUUACUGUCUCUUUACCUGAGGUGUCUCUACACCAUAGCAUCUUCAGCUCCAAAGAGGUGUAAGAGCUCUCCUUCAUAAGGCCUACUAAGACUUAAUGCAAGACAAUGUUGGAAAAAAAUAGUAAUGUAAUUGCAGGAAAUUAUAUUAAAGUUUAAGCCAUGUCCUUCUUACUGAUUCGGCAGGGAACAAAUCAGUUCUAUUCACUCAGUCUCUCCUAGAAUUACAUUAGGAAACUAAUUUGUACUUCAAAUUCUCCAUUCCCAUGAAUGAUCAAGGCAGUAAGGGAGCCAUGUAUAUUCUAAAGAUAGAGGAAAGUAAAUUCUCAAAUGCCUGAAGACAGCAACAAGAUCAGAAUAAGAAGUAUGCGAGCCUGGAAUCUUAAAAAUUAAACAGCUUUAUUUAAAUACAAAGUUACUGUGAAACAUACAUUAGGAUAUUAUCAUACCAAUAUAUUAACUAUUGUAAUCUAUGUACUAUUUAUUAAAGCAUAAUAC
rnacentral:lncRNA from 1 species